AUUGAACGCUGGCGGCAUGCCUUACACAUGCAAGUCGAACGGCAGCACGGGGGCAACCCUGGUGGCGAGUGGCGAACGGGUGAGUAAUACAUCGGAACGUGUCCUGUAGUGGGGGAUAGCCCGGCGAAAGCCGGAUUAAUACCGCAUACGACCUGAGGGAGAAAGCGGGGGAUCUUCGGACCUCGCGCUAUAGGGGCGGCCGAUGGCAGAUUAGCUAGUUGGUGGGGUAAAGGCCUACCAAGGCGACGAUCUGUAGCUGGUCUGAGAGGACGACGAGCCACACGGGGACUGAGGCACGGCCCAGACUCCUACGGGAGGCAGCAGUGGGGAAUUUUGGACAAGGGGGGCAACCCUGAUCCAGCAAUGCCGCGUGUGUGAAGAAGGCCUUCGGGUUGUAAAGCACUUUUGUCCGGAAAGAAAACCAUUGCCCUAAUAUGGUGGUGGGAUGACGGUACCGGAAGAAUAAGCACCGGCUAACUACGUGCCAGCAGCCGCCGUAACAC
rnacentral:rRNA from 1 species